AAGUCGUAACAAGGUCUCCGUUGGUGAACCAGCGGAGGGAUCAUUACCGAGUUUACAACUCCCAAACCCACUGUGAACAUACCUUUUUGUUGCUUCGGCGGGACCGCCCCCGGCGCCUCGGCGCUAGGAAUCACGGCACCCGCCGAAGGCCCUAAACUCUCUGUUUUAAACAUGGUUUCUCUGAGUGGCGUAAGCAAAAAAUAAAUCAAAACUUUCAACAACGGAUCUCUUGGUUCUG
rnacentral:misc_RNA from 1 species